rnacentral:rRNA from 1 species
AAAGCUACUCAGGCUUACACAUGCAAGUCGAGGGGCAGCAGAUUGAUAGCUUGCUAUUGAUGCUGGCGACCGGCGCACGGGUGAGUAACGCGUAUCCAACCUUCCCCUUAGUAGGGCAUAGCCCGGUGAAAAUCGGAUUAAUACCCUAUGUUCUUCGUAGAGGGCAUCUGAAGUGAAGCAAAGGUUUACCGCUAAGGGAUGGGGAUGCGUCUGAUUAGGCAGACGGCGGGGUAACGGCCCACCGUACCGACGAUCAGUAGGGGUUCUGAGAGGAAGGUCCCCCACAUUGGAACUGAGACACGGUCCAAACUCCUACGGGAGGCAGCAGUGAGGAAUAUUGGUCAAUGGGCGCGAGCCUGAACCAGCCAAGUAGCGUGCAGGAUGACGGCCCUAUGGGUUGUAAACUGCUUUUAUGCGGGGAUAAAGUUCACUACGUGUAGUGUUUUGUAGGUACCGCAUGAAUAAGGACCGGCUAAUUCCGUGCCAGCAACCGCGGUAAU